CCUACGGGUGGCUGCAGUGAGGAAUAUUGGUCAAUGGCCGGAAGGCUGAACCAGCCAAGUCGCGUGAGGGAAUAAGGCCCUAUGGGUCGUAAACCUCUUUUGUCAGGGAGCAAAGGCGUCCACGUGUGGACGAGAGGAGAGUACCUGAAGAAAAAGCAUCGGCUAACUCCGUGCCAGCAGCCGCGGUAAUACGGAGGAUGCGAGCGUUAUCCGGAUUUAUUGGGUUUAAAGGGUGCGUAGGCGGAGUGUCAAGUCAGCGGUAAAAUUGCGGGGCUCAACCCCGUCGAGCCGUUGAAACUGGCAGACUUGAGUUGGCGAGAAGUACGCGGAAUGCGCGGUGUAGCGGUGAAAUGCAUAGAUAUCGCGCAGAACUCCGAUUGCGAAGGCAGCGUACCGGCGCCAGACUGACGCUGAGGCACGAAAGCGUGGGGAUCGAACAGGAUUAGAUACCCUAGUAGUC
rnacentral:rRNA from 1 species